UACGUAGGGCGCAAGCGUUGUCCGGAAUUAUUGGGCGUAAAGAGCUCGUAGGCGGCCUGUUGCGUCCGCUGUGAAAUCCCGGGGCUCAACCCCGGGCCUGCAGUGGAUACGGGCUGGCUAGAGGCAGGCAGGGGAGAACGGAAUUCCUGGUGUAGCGGUGAAAUGCGCAGAUAUCAGGAGGAACACCGGUGGCGAAGGCGGGUCUCUGGGUAGUAACUGACGCUGAGGAACGAAAGCGUGGGUAGCGAACAGG
rnacentral:rRNA from 1 species